rnacentral:rRNA from 1 species
AGCGUAGGUGGACUGAUAAGUCAGUGGUGAAAUCUUCGAGCUUAACUCGGAAAUUGCCAUUGAUACUGUUGGUCUUGAGUACAGUUGCUGUGGGCGGAAUAUGACAUGUAGUGGUGAAAUACAUAGAGAUGUCAUAGAACACCGAUUGCGAAGGCAGCUCACAAAGCUGUAACUGACACUGAGGCUCGAAAGUGUGGGGAUCAAACAGGAUUAGAUACCCUGGUAGUCCACACUGUAAACGAUGAUUACCCGCUGCUAGAGGGCAACUUUUAGUGGCUUAGCGAAAGCGAUAAGUAAUCCACCUGGGGAGUACGCCGGCAACGGUGAAACUCAAAGGAAUUGACGGGGGCCCGCACAAGCGGAGGAGCAUGUGGUUUAAUUCGAUGAUACGCGAGGAACCUUACCAGGGCUUGAAAGUUAGUGACCGACUCUGAAAGGAGUCUUUCCGCAAGGACACGAAACUAGGUGCUGCAUGGCUGUCGUCAGCUCGUACCGUGAGGUGUUGGGUUAAGUCCCGCAACGAGCGCAACCCCUACCAUUAGUUGCCAGCGGUUCGGCCGGGGACUCUAGUGGAACUGCCCGCGCAAGCGGUGAGGAAGGUGGGGAUGACGUCAAGUCAUCACGGCCCUUACGUCCUGGGCUACACACGUGCUACAAUGGCUAUUACAGAGGGCAGCUACAUAGUAAUAUGAUGCAAAUCUUCAAAAAUAGUCUCAGUUCGGAUUGAGGUCUGCAACUCGACCUCAUGAAGCUGGAUUCGCUAGUAAUCGCGCAUCAGCAAUGGCGCGGUGAAUACGUUCCCGGGCCUUGUACACACCGCCCGUCAAGCCAUGAAAGCUGGGAGUAUCUAAAGUCGGUAGCCGUAAGGCGCCGCCUAGGGUAAAACCGGUGAUUGGGGCUAAGUCG